rnacentral:rRNA from 1 species
GACGAACGCUGGCGGCGUGCUUAACAUAUGCAAGUCGAACGGGCCUUGUCCCCUUUUUUUUUGGGGGUGGGGCUAGUGGCGAACGGGUGAGUAACACGUGAGUAACCUGCCCCUCACUUCUGGAUAACCGCUUGAAAGGGUGGCUAAUACGGGGUGUUCUGGCCUGCUCGCAUGGGUGGGUUUGGAGAGAUUCGACCGGCUUGGUUGUUUUGGUGGGGGAUGGGCUCGCGGCCUAUCAGGUUGUGGGUGGGGUGAUGGCCUGCCAAGGCUUUGACGGGUAGCCGGCCUGAGAGGGUUGGCGGUCACACGGGGACUGAGACACGGCCCAGACUUCUACGAGAGGCAGGAGGGGAGAAUAGUGCACAAGGGGCGCAAGCCGGAUGCAGCGACGCCGCGUGAGGGAUGGAGGCCUUCGGGUUGUGAACCUCUUUCGCCAGUGAAGAAGGUCCUGCUCUUUGUGGUGGGGUUGACGGUAGCUGGGUCAAUGAAGCGCCGGCUAACUACGUG